rnacentral:rRNA from 1 species
GUGGGGAAUAUUGGACAAUGGGCGAAAGCCUGAUCCAGCCAUGCCGCGUGUGUGAAGAAGGUCUUCGGAUUGUAAAGCACUUUAAGUUGGGAGGAAGGGCAGUAAGUUAAUACCUUGCUGUUUUGACGUUACCGACAGAAUAAGCACCGGCUAACUUCGUGCCAGCAGCCGCGGUAAUACGAAGGGUGCAAGCGUUAAUCGGAAUUACUGGGCGUAAAGCGCGCGUAGGUGGUUUUGUAAGUUGGAGGUGAAAUCCCCGGGCUCAACCUGGGAACUGCCUCCAAAACUGCAUGACUAGAGUACGGUAGAGGGUAGUGGAAUUUCCUGUGUAGCGGUGAAAUGCGUAAAUAUAGGAAGGAACACCAGUGGCGAAGGCGACUACCUGGACUGAUACUGACACUGAGGUGCGAAAGCGUGGGGAGCAAACAGGAUUAGAUACCCCGGUAGUCC